CGGACGGGUGAGUAACGCGUGGGUAACCUGCCCUGUACACACGGAUAACAUACCGAAAGGUAUGCUAAUACGGGAUAACAUAAGAAAUUCGCAUGUUUUUCUUAUCAAAGCUCCGGCGGUACAGGAUGGACCCGCGUCUGAUUAGCUAGUUGGUGAGGCAACGGCUCACCAAGGCGACGAUGCGUAGCCGACCUGAGAGGGUGAUCGGCCACAUUGGGACUGAGACACGGCCCAG
rnacentral:rRNA from 1 species